GACGAACGCUGGCGGCGUGCUUAACACAUGCAAGUCGAACGGAAAGGCCCUGCUUUUGUGGGGUGCUCGAGUGGCGAACGGGUGAGUAACACGUGAGUAACCUGCCCUUGACUUUGGGAUAACUUCAGGAAACUGGGGCUAAUACCGGAUAGGAGCUCCUGCUGCGUGGUGGGGGUUGGAAAGUUUCGGCGGUUGGGGAUGGACUCGCGGCUUAUCAGCUUGUUGGUGGGGUAGUGGCUUACCAAGGCUUUGACGGGUAGCCGGCCUGAGAGGGUGACCGGCCACAUUGGGACUGAGAUACGGCCCAGACUCCUACGGGAGGCAGCAGUGGGGAAUAUUGCACAAUGGGCGGAAGCCUGAUGCAGCAACGCCGCGUGCGGGAUGACGGCCUCCGGGUUGUAAACCGCUUUCGCCUGUGACGAAGCGUGAGUGACGGUAAUGGGUAAAGAAGCACCGGCUAACUACGUGCCAGCAGCCGCGGUGAUACGUAGGGUGCGAGCGUUGUCCGGAUUUAUUGGGCGUAAAGGGCUCGUAGGUGGUUGAUCGCGUCGGAAGUGUAAUCUUGGGGCUUAACCCUGAGCGUGCUUUCGAUACGGGUUGACUUGAGGAAGGUAGGGGAGAAUGGAAUUCCUGGUGGAGCGGUGGAAUGCGCAGAUAUCAGGAGGAACACCAGUGGCGAAGGCGGUUCUCUGGGCCUUUCCUGACGCUGAGGAGCGAAAGCGUGGGGAGCGAACAGGCUUAGAUACCCUGGUAGUCCACGCUGUAAACGGUGGGUACUAGGUGUGGGGUCCAUUCCACGGGUUCCGUGCCGUAGCUAACGCCUUAAGUACCCCGCCUGGGGAGUACGGCCGCAAGGCUAAAACUCAAAGGAAUUGACGGGGCCCCGCACAAGCGGCGGAGCAUGCGGAUUAAUUCGAUGCAACGCGUAGAACCUUACCUGGGUUUGACAUGGAUCGGGAGUGCUCAGAGAUGGGUGUGCCUCUUUUGGGGUCGGUUCACAGGUGGUGCAUGGCUGUCGUCAGCUCGUGUCGUGAGAUGUUGGGUUAAGUCCCGCAACGAGCGCAACCCUUGUUCACUGUUGCCAGCACGUUAUGGUGGGGACUCAGUGGAGACCGCCGGGGUCAACUCGGAGGAAGGUGGGGAUGACGUCAAGUCAUCGUGCCCCUUAUGUCCAGGGCUUCACGCAUGCUACAAUGGCUGGUACAGAGAGUGGCGAGCCUGUGAGGAUGAGCGAAUCUCGGAAAGCCGGUCUCAGUUCGGAUUGGGGUCUGCAACUCGACCUCAUGAAGUCGGAGUCGCUAGUAAUCGCAGAUCAGCAACGCUGCGGUGAAUACGUUCCCGGG
rnacentral:rRNA from 1 species